rnacentral:rRNA from 1 species
AUUAGAUAAAAAACCAAUGCCCUUCGGGGCUUUCUGGUGAUUCAUAAUAACUAAACGAAUCGCAUGGCCUUGAGCCGGCGAUGGUUCAUUCAAAUUUCUGCCCUAUCAACUUUCGAUUGUAGGAUAGAGGCCUACAAUGGUUUCAACGGGUAACGGAGAAUUAGGGUUCGGUUCCGGAGAGGGAGCCUGAGAAACGGCUACCACAUCCAAGGAAGGCAGCAGGCGCGCAAAUUACCCAAUCCCGACACGGGGAGGUAGUGACAAUAAAUACUGAUACAGGGCUCUUUUGGGCCUUGUAAUUGGAAUGAGUACAAUUUAAAUCCCUUAACGAGGAACAAUUGGAGGGCAAGUCUGGUGCCAGCAGCCGCGGUAAUUCCAGCUCCAAUAGCGUAUAUUAAAGUUGUUGCAGUUAAAAAGCUCGUAGUUGAACCUUGGGUCUGGCUGGCCGGUCCGCCUCACCGCGUGCACUGGUCCGGCCGGACCUUUCCUCUUGGGGAUCCGCAUGCCCUUUACUGGG